rnacentral:rRNA from 1 species
UGGGGAAUAUUGCGCAAUGGACGAAAGUCUGACGCAGCGACGCCGCGUGUGGGAUGACGCCUUUCGGGGUGUAAACCACUGUUGCCCGGGACGAAAUGCCCUUUCGAGGGAAUUGACGGUACCGGGUGAGGAAGCACCGGCUAACUCUGUGCCAGCAGCCGCGGUAAUACAGAGGGUGCGAGCGUUGUCCGGAAUCACUGGGCGUAAAGGGCGCGUAGGUGGCUGGGUAAGCGUGUGGUGAAAGUCCGGGGCUCAACCCCGGAUCUGCCGUGCGAACUGCUUGGCUUGAGCACGUGUAGAGGCAGGUGGAAUUUCGGGGUGUAGCGGUGGAAUGCGUAGAUAUCCGAAAGAACACCAGUGGCGAAGGCGGCCUGCUGGGCAGUUGCUGACACUGAGGCGCGA